rnacentral:rRNA from 1 species
ACCACCUGGGACGGCGAGAGGAACCGAUUGGGUUAGCCCUAAGUAGCGGAGAGUGAAGCGGUAAAAACUCACAUUGCAAAUCGGUCACUUUCGGAGCAGUAGUUGUAAUUUGUAGAAUUUGUCUUUGAUUAGGUCCUUGUCUAUGUUCCUUGGAACAGGACGUCAUAGAGGGUGAGAAUCCCGUUUGGCGAGGAUACCUUUUCUCUGUAAGACUUUUUCGAAGAGUCGAGUUGUUUGGGAAUGCAGCUCAAAGUGGGUGGUAAAUUCCAUCUAAAGCUAAAUAUUGGCGAGAGACCGAUAGCGAACAAGUACAGUGAUGGAAAGAUGAAAAGAACUUUGAAAAGAGAGUGAAAAAGUACGUGAAAUUGUUUAAAGGGAAGGGGAUUUGAUCAGACAUGGUGU